GAAAUUCCUUGUCGGGUAAGUUCCGACCUGCACGAAUGGCGUAACGACUUCCCCACUGUCUCCAGGAUAUGCUCAGCGAAAUUGAAUUCUCCGUGAAGAUGCGGAGUACCCGCGGUUAGACGGAAAGACCCCGUGCACCUUUACUGCAGCUUCAGAGUGGCAUUAGGAAAUAACUGUGUAGCAUAGGUGGGAGGCUUUGAAGCACUGGCGCCAGCUGGUGUGGAGCCAUAGGUGAAAUACCACCCUGUUGUUUUCUGAUGUCUAACCUCGCACCGUUAUCCGGUGCAGGGACCCUCUGUGGCGGGUAGUUUGACUGGGGCGGUCGCCUCCUAAAGAGUAACGGAGGCGCGCGAUGGUAGGCUCAGGACGGUUGGAAACCGUCUGCAAGAGUGCAAUGGCAUAAGCCUGCCUGACUGCGAGACUGACGAGUCGAGCAGAGACGAAAAGUCGGUCAUAGUGAUCCGGUGGUCCCUCGUGGAAGGGCCAUCGCUCAACGGAU
rnacentral:rRNA from 1 species